GUUUCAGUCCAUACUCAGAUCAAGGUCUUCUCCUUCCUACAUUACUCAUAUUCGGGGUCACACAACCCUCCCCAGACCUCUCUUGGCAGCAAAUGCCAGAGCUGAUACAUUACUUGCUCCCGUUUUUACAUAUGCAGAAAAUUUUCAUACUUUAACUCAUGUCAAUGCUGUGGGACUCUGAAAAAAGUUCCCCCUCACAUGGAAACAAGCUAAAACCAUUGUAUGUCACUGUCCUACUUGUCAAGUGUUAAUUUUACAUCCACUUUCUUCAGAAGUUAACACUAGAGGACUUUCACAGAAUGCUCUCUGGCAAAUGGAUAUGACUCAUUAUGCUGCUUUUGGCAAGCUGUCUUUUAUACAUGUAACUAUUGAUGCUUUUUCUCAUUUUGUCUGGGCCACUUGUCAAACAGGGGGAAAGUAUGGCUCAUGUUAAAUGACACAUACUUUCAUGUUUCUCGGUUAUGGGCUGUCCCAAGAAACUAAAAACUGACAACAGCCCCAGCUACACUAGUGCUGCUUUUAAAAAGUUCACUCAGACAUGGGCAAUUACUCACACAACUGGCAUCCCCUAUAACUCUCAAGGACAGACCUUGGUGGAACGAGCCAAUAAAACACUCAAAGAGCAACUUCGGAAACAGGACACUAAAACAGAGGGAUGCUGCUACCCCUUAUGCUCAGUUAGUUAAAUCUGGCUGCUUUUAUACUGAAAUUUCUUAAACCUACUAAGAAAUCAACUUUUUACAACAGCAGAACAACAUUUCACUGGAAAUAAAUUUGAUCCACAAAAAGGAAUGCACGUAUGGUGGAAGGAUGCAAAAACUAACAAAUGGGAAUUAGGCACUGUCGUAACAUGGGGUAGGGGUUUUGCUUGUGUUUCCCCAGGAAAAGGACAACAACCUGUGUGGGUUCCCUCCCGACAACUGAAAUUGCACCAUAACUCCCAAGAAGAAACACUCCCAGAAACAAAAGGCAAAGACCCCUCUGAAACCAAAGAUCUGCAGAUCCCGCAAGGAAUCCGAAGACAAGUCCAAAGUCAACGACAAGCAAUGAUGGCAAUGGUGAUCCUAGUUAAUAAAAAGCGGGGAGAUGUGGGUGGCAAGCCACCCAGGUGCCGAGGCAAGAGACCGAGAGCACGAGCUGUUCCAGUGUAAUAAAAUAUAUAAAAUAACAAGAGUUAUACUGAUAUAGCUCAUAGAUAUGAUUAUAUAUAAAUACCAUUAAUCAUUAGUUUGUAGUAAUUACUCUUUAUUCAAAUAUUAUAAUAAUCCUCACUCUACAAUCAUAACCUAGAAAAAGGCAGGCCAUGCAGAGAUAGGAGCUGAGGGGACAUGGUGAGAAGUGACAAGAAGACAAGAGUGUGAGCCUUUUGUUAUGCCCAGGCAGGGCCACCAGAGGGCUCCUUGGUCUAGCAGUAAUGCCAGCGUCUGGGAAGAUGCCCGUACCAAGCGGACCAUGGUCUAGUGGUAGCGUCAGUGCCAAGGAAAAGCACCUGCUACUGAGCAGACCAGGAAAGGGAGUCUCCCUUUCCCCAGGGGAGUUUAGAGAAGACUCUACUCCACCAUCUCUUAUGGAGGGCCUGACAUAAGUCAGGCCUGCCUGCAGUUAUCCAGAGGCCUGACCGUCUCCCUGUGAUGCUGUGCUUCAGUAGUCAUGCUCCUGGUCUGCUUUCAUGUUCCAUCCUGUACACCUGGCUCUGCCUUCUAGAUAGCAAUAGCAGAAUUACUGAAAGUAUUAAAAGUCUCUGAAAUGCAGAAAUAAUGGUGUAAGCUGUCUCUCCUCUCUCUCCGCCUCGGCUGCCAAACAGGGAAAGGCUCCCUUUCCAGUGGAUGCAUGACCCACGUGACCUUACCUAUCAUUGGAGAUGGCUAACACUCCUUACCCUGCCCCCUUGUCUUGUAUCCAAUAAAUAACAGCGCAGCCUGGAAUUUGGGGCCACUACUGGUCUCCACGUCUUGGUGGUAGUGGUCCCCCAGCCCCAGCUGUCUUUUCUUUUAUCUCUUUGUCUUUUGUCUUUGUUUCUAUGAUCUCUUGUCUCCGCACACGGGGAGAAAAACCCACAGACCCUGUAGGGCUGGCCCCUACAGGCUCUCAACUGUGUCUCUGUUCAGCCCUGCUGUAGGGCUCUCAACCUUCUGCCUGUUUGGCCUGGCAAUGAGGCCCUCAACCCUAUCCCUCCACAGCCUGGUUAUCCAUCUCUCACUUCUGCUUCUCCUUUGGUGCAUCAGGCUCCCUCGAAGCCUGUCCUGCAGUUACUGCAGCAGCCUUGAUUUCUCAACCCUAAAAGACCUGCCCAGCAGGUAAUCGCACCUCAUCCUGGCUUACAGGUUCUUGAUUCUUCCUCUAUUCAAAACUCGAAUCUCUUUUUGGCUUCUGGUCCGGUUACCACUGCUGUUGCCACCACCAUGGCUGCUCAUAAGCAACAGGUUACAUACAUUCCUGAAAAUGACACUCCUCUUAUGAGAGCCAUUUCUCAAGCCAGGGAGUAUGGGCAUCCUGAGGCCUAGCAACUUCCUCUUAUUCUACAUCCCCAUAUACCUGCCGCUCCUGUUGCUGUGGCACAGGAUCAGCCACAGCCCGCUGAUCCUGCUCAGCAGGUGGCUGAUCACACGGCUCCCCAAGGUCCGCAGCCUGAAAAUCAGGCUCCUCAGGCAAAUAAUCAGGCUCCUCAACCUAUACCAUAAAUGCUUGCUGCUGUAGCGCAGCCAGCUCCAGGUAUACCUGCAGUCCAGGCAGUAGUCCAACCAGAUCCU
rnacentral:lncRNA from 10 species